rnacentral:rRNA from 1 species
AUUGAACGCUGGCGGCAGGCCUAACACAUGCAAGUCGAGCGGAUGAAGGGAGCUUGCUCCUGGAUUCAGCUGCGGACGGGUGAGUAAUGCCUAGGAAUCUGCCUGGUAGUGGGGGAUAACGUCCGGAAACGGGCGCUAAUACCGCAUACGUCCUGAGGGAGAAAGUGGGGGAUCUUCGGACCUCACCCUAUCAGAUGAGCCUAGGUCGGAUUAGCUAGUUGGUGGGGUAAAGGCCUACCAAGGCGACGAUCCGUAACUGGUCUGAGAGGAUGAUCAGUCACACUGGAACUGAGACACGGUCCAGACUCCUACGGGAGGCAGCAGUGGGGAAUAUUGGACAAUGGGCGAAAGCCUGAUCCAGCCAUGCCGCGUGUGUGAAGAAGGUCUUCGGAUUGUAAAGCACUUUAAGUUGGGAGGAAGGGCAGUAAGUUAAUACCUUGCUGUUUUGACGUUACCAACAGAAUAAGCACCGGCUAACUUCGUG